rnacentral:rRNA from 1 species
UACGAAGGGAGCUAGCGUUGUUCGGAAUCACUGGGCGUAAAGCGCACGUAGGCGGACGUGUCAGUCGAGGGUGAAAUCCCGGAGCUCAACUUCGGAACUGCCUUUGAUACAGCACGUCUGAGUCCGGAAGAGGUGGGUGGAAUUCCUAGUGUAGAGGUGAAAUUCGUAGAUAUUAGGAAGAACACCGGUGGCGAAGGCGGCCCACUGGUCCGGUACUGACGCUGAGGUGCGAAAGCGUGGGGAGCAAACAGG